UCCGCGUGCGCCAGCGCUGGAUCUGCUCCGUCUGGCUCCGGCGACCUUACCCCGUGGCUCCGGGACAGGAAGGCUACCCCGACGACAUACAGCAACUGGACUCUAUGCACAGAGAGGAGGAUGAAGACACCCAGCCAUGGAUUUUUAGCAGCACUCACUCAAGGAAAAAGAGACCUCAACAAGCCAAUGGAUGCAGCCAGCCUCCAACUCACCACGCACCUGCACCAACUUGAUGUAGGGAGAGGAGGAGUGAGGCUUCUCUCACGGGAUGACGCCCAGCCAUGGGGCAGCAGCAAUCCAAGAUUGCUGUCAAAAUAAGCCUAAAUUCAGAGUCUUCGGAAGUCAAUUACUUUGAGCCUUUGAGUUAGGAGCUAGUUAAUGUACCCUCAGCGGCCGUGCUUGAUAGGAGGGGCCAGGGAAGUGCUUUAAGUCGUUCCAAGAAUGUGAGACAGUGUCAAGUCUGUAAGGCAAGUCAAGGCGCUCCUGUUGCGGCAAGAUCCUUCAGCGGUGCAGGAGAUUAAGGGUUCCAUAAUCGAUUCCGCGCCUAUUGCUGUCCC